rnacentral:rRNA from 1 species
GAUGAACGCUGGCGGCGUGCCUAAUACAUGCAAGUCGAGCGAACAGACGAGGAGCUUGCUCCUCUGACGUUAGCGGCGGACGGGUGAGUAACACGUGGAUAACCUACCUAUAAGACUGGGAUAACUUCGGGAAACCGGAGCUAAUACCGGAUAAUAUAUUGAACCGCAUGGUUCAAUAGUGAAAGACGGUUUUGCUGUCACUUAUAGAUGGAUCCGCGCCGCAUUAGCUAGUUGGUAAGGUAACGGCUUACCAAGGCAACGAUGCGUAGCCGACCUGAGAGGGUGAUAGGCCACACUGGAACUGAGACACGGUCCAGACUCCUAAGGGAGGCAGCAGUAGGGAAUCUUCCGCAAUGGGCGAAAGCCUGACGGAGCAGCGCCGCGUGAGUGAUGACGGUCUUCGGAUCGUAAAACUCUGUUAUUAGGGAAGAACAAAUGUGUAAGUAACUAUGCACGUCUUGACGGUACCUAAUCAGAAAGCCACGGCUAACUACGUG